CGGGACGUAGCGCAGCUUGGUAGCGCACUUGCAUGGGGUGCAAGGGGUCGGAGGUUCAAAUCCUCUCGUCCCGACCA
rnacentral:tRNA from 2 species